CUCAUGAGGGCCGGGAAGGAGGAGGCGGGAACCAAAGAACACUCAGUACCUGACGAUUGGACAAAGAAGCUGGAGGGCGGGAAGCAGUUCUGGAAGGGGACGGGGCUGGUGAGCCAGAAGAGAGGAGUCUUCGUAACCCGGGCUGAAACCUGUGAUUGGCAGGGGCUGGAGACUGGCGUGGGUGUGGGACGCUGUAACAGGUUGCUACAAUGACAAAGAAAUAUCCGUCAAGCUUUGAAAGUAGCUGUUAUAAAAAGGAUGGCGAAGGAAGACCAUAUGAUUAAUUUAACAAGAAGGACAAAAGAGACCAUAUAUACUGUUCUGCAAUUGACACAGACAUACUCCUGAAAACACAGAAGAAUAGUGCUGAAAAUAUUUCUUUUUAAUGUUGCUCUGUGAUUCUCUAUAUAAUUUAAAUAUUCCAACGUUAAGUGUGGGGAUAUUGAUUGUCCAAUAAAUAUGCACAAUGAAAAGUA